GUCUUUUCAUAGUUCACAAGUGAUUGGGUUUUCACGUUCAUGUGUAAGAUGUGACUCCUUCGGUCCUCAAAUAUUGGCACAUUAUCACUCUGAUG
ensembl:snoRNA